GUAGGUGGUCGUAUAAGCGAAUAGUGAAAUCUGGUGGCUCAACCAUACAGGCUAUUAUUCGAACUGUACGACUCGAGAAUGGUAGAGGUAACUGGAAUUUCUAGUGUAGGAGUGAAAUCCGUAGAUAUUAGAAGGAACACCAAUGGCGUAGGCAGGUUACUGGACCAUUUCUGACACUGAGGCACGAAAGCGUGGGGAGCGAACCGGAUUAGAUACCCGGGUAGUCCACGCCGUAAACUAUGGAUACUAGCUGUUGGAGGUAUCGACCCCUCCAGUAGCGAAGCUAACGCGUUAAGCAUCCCGCCUGUGGAGUACGGUCGCAAGACUAAAACAUAAAGGAAUUGACGGGGACCCGCACAAGCGGUGGAGCGUGUUGUUUAAUUCGAUGGUAAACGAAGAACCUUACCCAGGUUUGACAUCCUUGGAAUUUUGCCGAAAGGCGAGAGUGCUUUAUUGAGCCAAGUGACAGGUGUUGCAUGGCCGUCGUCAGCUCGUGUCGUGAGAUGUUUGGUUAAGUCCAUCAACGAGCGCAACCCUUAUAGUCUGUUGUAUUUUUCAGGCUAGACUGCCCCGGUAACGGGGAGGAAGGAGGGGAUGAUGUCAGGUCAGUAUUACCCUUACAUCUGGGGCUACAAACACGCUACAAUGGCCGGUACAAAGGGCAGCCAAGUCGCGAGACGGAGCAAAUCCCAUCAAAGCCGGUCCCAGUUCAGAUUGCAGGCUGAAACUCGCCUGCAUGAAGUCGGAAUCGCUAGUAACGGUAGGUCAGCUAUACUACCGUGAAUACGUUCCCGGGUCUUGUACACACCGCCCGUCAAACCAUGAAAGUCACCAAUACCUGACGUGUUGCCUUCGCGCAGCCCUAAGGUAGGGGGGAUGAUUGGGGUU
rnacentral:rRNA from 1 species